GACGAACGCUGGCGGCGCGCCUAACACAUGCAAGUCGAACGAGAGAUGAAGAGCUUGCUCUUCAGAUCGAGUGGCGAACGGGUGAGUAACGCGUGAGGAACCUGCCUCAAAGAGGGGGACAACAGUUGGAAACGACUGCUAAUACCGCAUAAGCCCACGGCUCGGCAUCGAGCAGAGGGAAAAGGAGUGAUCCGCUUUGAGAUGGCCUCGCGUCCGAUUAGCUGGUUGGUGAGGUAACGGCCCACCAAGGCCGACGAUCGGUAGCCGGACUGAGAGGUUGAACGGCCACAUUGGGACUGAGACACGGCCCAGACUCCUACGGGAGGCAGCAGUGGGGAAUAUUGCACAAUGGGGGAAACCCUGAUGCAGCGACGCCGCGUGGAGGAAGAAGGUCUUCGGAUUGGUAAACUUCUUUUACCAGGGACGAAGGACGUGACGGUACCUGGAGAAAAAGCCACGGCUAACUACGUG
rnacentral:rRNA from 1 species